rnacentral:rRNA from 1 species
AUAACUCCGGAAUAGCCUUUCGAAAGAAAGAUUAAUACCGGAUAGCAUACGAAUAUCGCAUGAUAUUUUUAUUAAAGAAUUUCGGUUAUCGAUGGGGAUGCGUUCCAUUAGUUUGUUGGCGGGGUAACGGCCCACCAAGACUACGAUGGAUAGGGGUUCUGAGAGGAAGGUCCCCCACAUUGGAACUGAGACACGGUCCAAACUCCUACGGGAGGCAGCAUG